rnacentral:rRNA from 1 species
GACGAACGCUGGCGGCGUGCUUAACACAUGCAAGUCGAACGGAAAGGCCCUGCUUUUGUGGGGUGCUCGAGUGGCGAACGGGUGAGUAACACGUGAGUAACCUGCCCUUGACUUUGUGAUAACUUCAGGAAACUGGGGCUAAUACCGGAUAGGAGCUCCUGCUGCAUGGUGGGGGUUGGAAAGUUUCGGCGGUUGGGGAUGGACGCGCGGCUUAUCAGCUUGUUGGUGGGGUAGUGGCUUACCAAGGCUUUGACGGGUAGCCGGCCUGAGAGGGUGACCGGCCACAUUGGGACUGAGAUACGGCCCAGACUCCUACGGGAGGCAGCAGUGGGGAAUAUUGCACAAUGGGCGGAAGCCUGAUGCAGCAACGCCGCGUGCGGGAUGACGGCCUUCGGGUUGUAAACCGCUUUCGCCUGUGACGAAGCGUGAGUGACGGUAAUGGGUAAAGAAGCACCGGCUAACUACGUG